rnacentral:rRNA from 1 species
AGUGAACGCUGGCGGUAGGCCUAACACAUGCAAGUCGAACGGCAGCACAGUAAGAGCUUGCUCUUACGGGUGGCGAGUGGCGGACGGGUGAGGAAUACAUCGGAAUCUACUUUUUCGUGGGGGAUAACGUAGGGAAACUUACGCUAAUACCGCAUACGACCUACGGGUGAAAGCAGGGGAUCUUCGGACCUUGCGCGACUGAAUGAGCCGAUGUCGGAUUAGCUAGUUGGCGGGGUAAAGGCCCACCAAGGCGACGAUCCGUAGCUGGUCUGAGAGGAUGAUAAGCCACACUGGAACUGAGACACGGUCCAGACUCCUACGGGAGGCAGCAGUGGGGAAUAUUGGACAAUGGGCGCAAGCCUGAUCCAGCCAUACCGCGUGGGUGAAGAAGGCCUUCGGGUUGUAAAGCCCUUUUGUUGGGAAAGAAAAGCAGCAGGUUAAUACCCCGCUGUUCUGACGGUACCCAAAGAAUAAGCACCGGCUAACUUCGUG